rnacentral:rRNA from 1 species
GCAAGUCGAACGGCAGCGGGAGGAGCUUGCUCCUUGCCGGCGAGUGGCGGACGGGUGAGUAAUACGUAGGGAUCUGCCUAAAAGCCUGGGAUAGCCUGUGGAAACGCAGGGUAAUACCGGAUGUGAUUUACGAAUUAAAGCUGGGGACCUUUUGGCCUGGCACUUUUAGAUGAACCUACGUCGGAUUAGCUUGUUGGUGGGGUAAAGGCCUACCAAGGCUGCGAUCCGUAGCUGUACUGAGAGGUAGAAC